rnacentral:lncRNA from 1 species
CAGCUCCUGUAUGCUUCCACCCUCAGCCUCCUUCUCACCACAUCAGGCUCUAGGCUCCUGGGGCAAAGACUUGGGUGCCCUUGGGGUCUCCACUGUGCCAAGUUUCUGUUUGUUGAAAUACCUCGAGAUUGAGUUUAAAAUUUGGCAUUACUUUGAACUUUAAUUGACCAGUGGAGUCAGUUUGAAUGUCCAAGGCUUUUUCUCCAGAUGCUCAAUGAUUUUAGGGCUUUCUUUAAGGCAACCUUGUCCAACUUGCUUUAUUUUGUUGUUGUUCUGUUCUGUUUUGUUUUAGGCUUUUAGCAGUAUGAAGCCAUGGUUUUUAGUUUCUGUCUCUAGUGAUAAGUGGAAAAGAGGGACGAGGAAGGGGCUUUACCAGCCCAAUCAGAAACAGAAACUAAGAACCCAUGACUGUGUUCUCUCCCUUGGACACCCUGGCAGGGAGUGGAAAUUAUUGAACACUAAGAUAAAUGGAGAUCACUAUAGCCUUGAGACUAAAUUUUACUUGCAGAAGAAUGCGGAGAACCUCUUCCAAACAGCUUUAGGAAAAGGGAGAGCUCCUCCCUCCUUCCAUUAUCCACCAGCCUGUGCACCUGGGAGGAACUUUACCACCUGCAAGAUCUAAAGACAUUUUUUAUACCUACUAUUUUGCUUCUGUUCAUGGCAACCUGAAAAACAAGACACGGUUGUAAAAUAAACAUCAGAUGUGGAAAUCCUGCUGAAGAAAAAGACAAAAAGGCCGGAGAACCCUCACAGAGCUGCAUGCCCACAGGAAAAGGAGCACCCUCUCCUCACUCACUCCACAGUGCGCAGAGGGCAGAAGUUGAGGAGGCAAAUAUCUCAGCUGCAGCUCCUAGUUUCUACAGAGGCUCAAACCCCUCACCAGACCAAGCCGCUUUCUGUUUCCAUCAGAGGAAGCCAGAGAGCAGGGGUAACAGGUAUAGGGGUACUUUUUAUUUCUAAACAUCUUUUUUUAUUUCUUUUUAUUAAUAGGCUUUAUUUUUUAGAGCAGUUUUAGGUUCACAGCAAAAUUGAGAGGAAGGCACAAAGAGUUCUCAUAUACUCCCCACCCCCUCAACCAUAUGCACAGCCUCCCCCACUAUCAACAUCCCACUCCAGAGUGGCCCUUUUGUUACAGGUGAUGAACAUGCAAACAUCACUAUUAACCCAAGGCCAUAGAUGACAUUAGGGUUCACUCUUGGCGCUGUAUAGUCCAUGGGUUUGGACAAAUGUACAAUGACGUGAAUCUACCAUUACAGUAUCAUACAGAGUAGUUUCACUGCCCUUAAAAUCCUCAGUGCUCCAUCUACUUAUCCCUCUCUCCCUUCCCCCAUUCCUUAGCAACCACUGCCUUUUUACUGUCUCCCUAGUUUCACAUUUUCCAGAAUGUCCUAUAGUUUGAAUCACACAGCAUGGAGUCAUCAUUUUACCUAUGGAUGCACAAUUGUUGCAGUAUCAUUUAAUGAAAAGGCUAUUAUUUCUCCAUCAAGUUGCCUUUGAAACUUGGUCAAAAAUUAGAUGUUCAUAUAGUGUGGCUUUAUUUGUGGACUUUCUACUACACUCCAUUAAUUGUUUUGCCUGUAUUUUCACCAAAACAACACUAUCUUGAUUACUGUAGGCUUUUCAUAGAUCUAGUAAUAAGAUAAUAUUCAUUCUCCAAAUUUGUUUUUAUUUUUUUAAGUUGUUUUGACUAUUGUAGGCACUUUGAAUUUCUGUAUGAAUUUUGUAAAUUCUAGAUUUAGUUAUCAAAUUUUUUUAAAAGCCUACUGGAAUUUCUAUUUGGAUUGCACUGAUCCUAUAGAUCAAUUUGUGGAGAACUGACAUCUUAACAAUAUUGAGUCUUCCAACUUAUGAACAUAGUAUAUUUUUUCCUCCAUUUAGAUCUUUACUUGUUAUCAACACCAUUUUACGGUUUUCAGUACACAGAUGUUUUACUCCUUUGAAGCAGACUAAUUCCUAGGUAUCUUAUUUUUAUGCUAAAGUAAAUGUUAUUUAAUUUUCAAUUUCUAAUAGUUUGUUGUGAGUACAUAGACAUACUAUUGAUUUCUGUAUAUUAAUCUUCUAUACUGGAAACUUGCUAACCUCACCUGUUAGUUGUAUUAGCUUUCUUUGUAGAUUCCAUUUCAUUUCUACAAAGAUGAUCAUGUCAUAUGCAAAUAAAAGGUUCUACUUUUUCCUUUCCAAUAUAAAUGCCUUUAAUUUCCUUCUUUUGCCUGAUUGUACUUGUGAGAACCUCCUCCAGGUUGAAUAGAAAUGUGUUUUUUCUAAUCUUCAGGAGGAAAGCAUUUUGUCAUUUACCACUGAGUAUGAUGUCAUCUGUGGGUUUUUGGUAGAUGCCCUUCUGGUCCUUGUUUGAUGAGAGCUUUUAUGUCAAGUAUAUGUUGAAUAUUAUCAAAUACAUGUUUGUGUCUAUUAAGGAGAUGAUACAAGUUUUUCUUUUUUAGUUUCUUAAUAGGAUGAAUUAUAGUGAUUAAGAUCUUAAAGUUAAGCCAACCUUACACACUUGUGGUAAACCCCACUUGGUCACAAUAUCUACUGCUUUUGAUAUACUGUCAGCUAGAAUACAAAAAUUUUGUUUAGAUUUUUUUGCAUUUAUGUUCAUGAGAGAUAUUAGUCUCCACUUUUUUUGUCUAAUAAAUUUGUCAGGAUCCGGGGUCUGAGUAAUGCUGGCCUCAGAAAGUGUUGGAAAGGAUAUCCUCCUUUUUAAUUUUCUGGAAGAAUUUUUGUAGACUCAGAACUCAUUCUCUCUUUAAUGUUUCGUAGAACAUACUAGUGAAGCUACCUGGGAAUGGAGGUUGUGUGUGUGAGAAGAUUUUUAAUUACAAAUUCAAUUUAUUUAAUUUAGAGUUAUUCAGAUCAUCAAUUUCUUCUUCAGUAAGCAUUUGUAGUUUGUGGUUUUUCAAAGGCUUUGUACAUUUCAUUGAUGUUGACAAAUUAAUUCACAUAGAACUGUUCAUAAUAUUAUCUUAUUUUCCUACCAUUAUCUUUUGAUUCUGAUGCCACUUUGCUUUUCUGAUUUUGGUGAUUUAUGAUUUAUUUUCUGAUCAAUCUUGCUAAAUGUCUAUCAAUUUUAUUGAUCUUAAAGAAACAGCUUUUGGCUUUAUUGAUUUUUUCUAUUGUCUUUCUGCUUUCUAUUUUAUUAACCUCCAUUCUGACCAUUUUUACUUCCUUUCUUAUACUUACCUUGUGUUUAAGUUGAUCUUUUUUUUUUUUUUUUUUUGUACUGUUAAGGUGGAAGCUGAGGUCUUAACAUUUGAGAACUUCAUUUUCUAAUAUCAAUGUUUUGUGCUCCAAAUUUCCCCCAAAUGCUUUAGUGAUAAUCUAAUAAAUUUUUAUUUGUUAUGUUUUAAUUUUCGUUCACUUUAAAACAGUGCCUAAUUUCCCUUCUAAUUUCUUCUUUGACUAAUGGCUUAUUUAGAAAUGUGUUGUUUAGUUUCCAUGUUUGAGGGAUUUUCUAGAGAUUUUUCUGUUACUAAUUUUUAAUGUAAUUUCAUUGUGAGUAGAGCACAAACUUUGUAUGACUUGGAAUAUUGUAUACUUUUUGAGGCUGGUUUAAUGGCACCAAAUUUGAGUUAUCUUGGUAAAUAUUAUGUGUACAGUUGAAAAUAAUGUACACUAUGUUAUUAUUGGGUGGAGUGUUCUAUAAAUAUCAACUAAGUCAAAUUAGUUAAUGGUGUUUAAAUACUCUAUUCCUUACUGAGUUUUUGUUCACCUGUUUUAUCAAUUAUUGAGAGAGGGUUACUAAAUUCUCUGUCUAUAACUAUACAAUUAUAUAUUUUUCCUUGCAGUUAUAUCAGUUUUUGCUUCAAUUGUUUUGUUUUUGUUGAUAUUUAGGAUUGUUAUUUCCUCUUGAUAAAUUAAUCUUUUUGUCAUGAAAUCUCUUUAUCUAUUUCUGCUUAUUUCCUUUGUUUAAAGUCUAAUUUGUCUGAUAUUAAUGUAGUAGCUCCAGCUUUAUUUGAUUAAUGUUAACAUGUAUUUCCUAAUUAUGUAUUUUCUAUGGCCAGCAUAUAGUUGGGUCUUGCUUUUGCAACCAAUUAGACAAUCUCUGCCUUUUUAUUUGAAGUAUUUAGACUAUUUACUUUCAUGUGAUUAUUAAUAUGGUUGUUGAUAUGAAUAUGAUCAUCUUGGUAUUUAUUUUCUGUUUGCCCCUUUGUUCUUUUUUCCCUUUUCUCUUAUUUUUUAAACCAUCUUUUGGAUUAAUAUAUUAAUUUUGACUAUUAUAAUUCUU